AAUAAGAUGCCUGAGCAAAAGGGCUAUCUUGAUAGGAUAGAUCAUACAAUAAAUUGUUCUUAUUA
rnacentral:tRNA from 1 species